rnacentral:rRNA from 1 species
UGUGAACUCGAAGAGUAGGGCGGGACACGUGGUAUCCUGUCUGAAUAUGGGGGGACCAUCCUCCAAGGCUAAAUACUCCUGACUGACCGAUAGUGAACCAGUACCGUGAGGGAAAGGCGAAAAGAACCCCGGCGAGGGGAGUGAAAAAGAACCUGAAACCGUGUACGUACAAGCAGUGGGAGCACCUUCGGGUGUGACUGCGUACCUUUUGUAUAAUGGGUCAGCGACUUAUAUUCUGUAGCAAGGUUAACCGUAUAGGGGAGCCGCAGGGAAACCGAGUCUUAACUGGGCGUUAAGUUGCAGGGUAUAGACCCGAAACCCGGUGAUCUAGCCAUGGGCAGGUUGAAGGUUGGGUAACACUAACUGGAGGACCGAACCGACUAAUGUUGAAAAAUUAGCGGAUGACUUGUGGCUGGGGGUGAAAGGCCAAUCAAACCGGGAGAUAGCUGGUUCUCCCCGAAAGCUAUUUAGGUAGCGCCUCGUGAACUCAUCUUCGGGGGUAGAGCACUGUUUCGGCUAGGGGGUCAUCCCGACUUACCAACCCGAUGCAAACUACGAAUACCGAAGAAUGUUAUCACGGGAGACACACGGCGGGUGCUAACGUCCGUCGUGAAGAGGGAAACAACCCAGACCGCCAGCUAAGGUCCCAAAGUCAUGGUUAAGUGGGAAACGAUGUGGGAAGGCACAGACAGCCAGGAUGUUGGCUUAGAAGCAGCCAUCAUUUAAAGAAAGCGUAAUAGCUCACUGGUCGAGUCGGCCUGCGCGGAAGAUGUAACGGGGCUAAACCAUGCACCGAAGCUGCGGCAGCGACACUAUGUGUUGUUGGGUAGGGGAGCGUUCUGUAAGCCUGCGAAGGUGACCUGUGAGGGUUGCUGGAGGUAUCAGAAGUGCGAAUGCUGACAUAAGUAACGAUAAAGCGGGUGAAAAGCCCGCUCGCCGGAAGACCAAGGGUUCCUGUCCAACGUUAAUCGGGGCAGGGUGAGUCGACCCCUAAGGCGAGGCCGAAAGGCGUAGUCGAUGGGAAACAGGUUAAUAUUCCUGUACUUGGUGUUACUGCGAAGGGGGGACGGAGAAGGCUAUGUUAGCCGGGCGACGGUUGUCCCGGUUUAAGCAUGUAGGCUGGUUGUCCAGGCAAAUCCGGAUAAUCAAGGCUGAGGUGUGAUGACGAGGCACUACGGUGCUGAAGUAACAAAUGCCCUGCUUCCAGGAAAAGCCUCUAAGCAUCAGGUAACAUCAAAUCGUACCCCAAACCGACACAGGUGGUCAGGUAGAGAAUACCAAGGCGCUUGAGAGAACUCGGGUGAAGGAACUAGGCAAAAUGGUGCCGUAACUUCGGGAGAAGGCACGCUGGUGUGUAGGUGAAGUCCCUGCGGAUGGAGCUGAGACCAGUCGAAGAUACCAGCUGGCUGCAACUGUUUAUUAAAAACACAGCACUGUGCAAACACGAAAGUGGACGUAUACGGUGUGACGCCUGCCCGGUGCCGGAAGGUUAAUUGAUGGGGUUAUCCGUAAGGAGAAGCUCUUGAUCGAAGCCCCGGUAAACGGCGGCCGUAACUAUAACGGUCCUAAGGUAGCGAAAUUCCUUGUCGGGUAAGUUCCGACCUGCACGAAUGGCGUAAUGAUGGCCAGGCUGUCUCCACCCGAGACUCAGUGAAAUUGAACUCGCUGUGAAGAUGCAGUGUACCCGCGGCAAGACGGAAAGACCCCGUGAACCUUUACUAUAGCUUGACACUGAACAUUGAGCCUUGAUGUGUAGGAUAGGUGGGAGGCUUUGAAGCGUGGACGCCAGUCUGCGUGGAGCCAACCUUGAAAUACCACCCUUUAAUGUUUGAUGUUCUAACGUUGGCCCCUGACCGGGGUUGCGGACAGUGUCUGGUGGGUAGUUUGACUGGGGCGGUCUCCUCCCAAAGCGUAACGGAGGAGCACGAAGGUUAGCUAAUCCUGGUCGGACAUCAGGAGGUUAGUGCAAUGGCAUAAGCUAGCUUGACUGCGAGCGUGACGGCGCGAGCAGGUGCGAAAGCAGGUCAUAGUGAUCCGGUGGUUCUGAAUGGAAGGGCCAUCGCUCAACGGAUAAAAGGUACUCCGGGGAUAACAGGCUGAUACCGCCCAAGAGUUCAUAUCGACGGCGGUGUUUGGCACCUCGAUGUCGGCUCAUCACAUCCUGGGGCUGAAGUAGGUCCCAAGGGUAUGGCUGUUCGCCAUUUAAAGUGGUACGCGAGCUGGGUUUAGAACGUCGUGAGACAGUUCGGUCCCUAUCUGCCGUGGGCGCUGGAGAAUUGAGGGGGGCUGCUCCUAGUACGAGAGGACCGGAGUGGACGCAUCACUGGUGUUCGGGUUGUCAUGCCAAUGGCACUGCCCGGUAGCUAAAUGCGGAAGAGAUAAGUGCUGAAAGCAUCUAAGCACGAAACUUGCCCCGAGAUGAGUUCUCCCUGAGACUUUAAGUCUCCUGAAGGAACGUUAAAGACGAUGACGUUGAUAGGCCGGGUGUGUAAGCGCAGCGAUGCGUUGAGCUAACCGGUACUAAUGAACCGUGAGGCUUAACCUU